GCGCGGUUGGGACAGUGGUAGUCCAUAAGACUUCGAUGGUCUUAUCCACCAGUAAUCUUGGCGUCGUCGGUUCGAUCCCGGCACUGCGCU